rnacentral:lncRNA from 1 species
UUGUGAAUUUAGAAAAGGGUUGCAACUUGCACCAAUAUCCAUCUUCAGAUUUGCUGAUUUUCCUCCAAAGAAGAGCCAUCAAAAGUCGCCGAAAACAAAGAGUAUGUCUGUAUGUGUCCGGUGUUCCCUGAGGCCUUAACCACUAUUUUUUUGUAAGCAAUGUUUUUCAUUUUUCAAUAAUGCUGCUGUUUUGAGGUUUUGGGGUUUGUUGAUCUGACAUGGUAAUUUCGAAAUUGAAAUUUUGAAUGGGCACACCGCAAAUUGAAUAAUUGAUACCCUGAUUGACGUCACAGUAGCAUUUGCCAUGAUACACAUUUGACUUGAAUUGUUGUUCUUAUUUUUGUUAAAUUGGAUGGAAAAAUAUCAAGAAAAUUUGGGUGUUGCCCAGCUGGAUUUGGAGAAGAUGGCUUCUUGUCUCCUUCACUACUUGACUGUUUGUUUAAAAGGUUGCCUAGGUAUAUAGGUCAGCUACAUGAUUAUUGGAUAUGCUGAUUUUGGUUAUUUUAGAAAAAAAAUU